UGUCACAGCCUUGAUUGGAAAUGUCAUCCUCCUUGUACCCAGAUUGGCAGCUGAACAGACCUCAUUUGGUUGCUGCUCCUCUGCCAGAUGACCCAAACCCAACAAAAAGGAAGUACACUGACUUUUCUUCUUAUCCUUUGUAUUGCUCAGAAGAGACACAAUAAUGAGUAACAGGCAGAAAGCCCACUCUGCUAUGCUGAAAGGUAGUGAAUUACAGUGCUGAUGAAUAGAAGAUAAACAAUGCACCAUCCCCAUUAAUUAUAGCAAAAUAUCUAAGUGCUAAACUAACUCAUUGCAGGUGAUACUUUACAUCCACGCUUUGACUUUACACAUUGGCUUCAUACACUUUUUUUUUACAGUAAGCUAAAACCCUCCGAGAUUCAAGCUGCAAGAAUAAUUGAUGAUACUUUUGUCAUCUCUCCCUGUGUUUUUUACAAGGAACUAGCAGGGAAUGGCCAUGGGAUUUAACAUGUGAUUUAUUGAAUCGUAUAUAUUUGGAUAAACUGCAUAUUACUCAGAAAGGUCCAGUAUAGCACUGGGCCUAUAUGAUGAAUGCUGGGGAUAUGGUGAUCCCAAGAAAGUUGAAGUAAUGAGCUUCCCAAGUAGUUUGAGUUCACCAUUUGCUAGAAAAAGAAGACAUAGCUAGCAGAGUUAUUGCAAGAAAGAUUGUUUUUCAUUAUUCUGGCUACACAUGUAAUUCCCCCACUGGUGGAUGUGUAUAUUAAUAAGUUUGAGCUUCAGUGCCUUGGUGCUUCGAGUAUAAAGGAUAUAACAUUUUUCUUGGAGGACUCUUUGUUGUGUGCUCUACCUGUAUGGCCACCAAGAUCUCUUUGAUGGCAGGGAUAGUACAGCCAAUUGGUCUCCUUGUUUUGGAAUUCCAAAUAGAUUUUGAUUGUCAAAUUGGCUAUUAUUGUGACAGCAGAAUGGUUGACUUUCCAAAUAAACCUGAAGUAUGACAUUAUAACGUCCCAUUUUCCAACUUCCAAAAUUGCUGGUAGUUUGAGCUCAACUAGGAUGCAAAAACAGCACAGUUUAAUAACUAAUAGAGGAGUUCCUGGUUGUUAUUUGGGUGUUGUUCUAUCAGCUUCUUAGCAUUUUCUGUCAGCCUGCUGUUCAGUUGGGUCAUUUGUUAUCUCUUAAAUUGGCAAUAGGUGGCAGUAAAGGGGCCUUUUAGAUCUCACUUCAUCAAGAAACCCUAGCAGCAACUAGCAAUAGUAACAGUUACUUUUCCAACUACCCGAUAAAUAACAUGUCUCAUUACUUUUAAACACUAUAAUGCAUAAUGGAAAAUUAAAUAUCUUCAGAAAGUUACUUUUCAAGCAGGCCUCCACCCAUCUCUAGGUUAAUAAGGUGACCAUUAUGCCAACCUAUCAUGCAAUUUUCUUGGCAAGAUUUGUUCAGAGUGUUAUCGAACACGGCACCCUCACCCCUAAUUUAAAAAAGGCAUUUAUAAUUCUCCAAGAGCAAGGGCCAGGAUGAAUUGCAGCACCAUCCUUACCAUUAGAAGAAGUCUUUCCCAACCUCCAUAGACCAGCAGCAGGACACACUCCCAAGAAGUCAAUUUUUUCUAUUUUAUACUUUUUGACCCAAUUCUUUAAUCAAAGCUAAUCUGGAUCAGUGCAUGUUCGACGGGAGUCAGGACUCCUUAAAUGUGUACCUCAGGAUCGAGUGCGUAUCUCAUAGAGCAGGGUCCACCUGAGAGCCUUUCUCAUAGACCCCAGGAAUCUUUAAGGGGCGGCCCAGUCCCAACUUUGGCCUGAUCUAAGGGAGCCAACCCUGCUAGUCCACACCAGCACCUGUCUCAUGGACCCUGGCCCCAGUGGAAAGUCUCUCUAUGGACAACAAAAUCUUCAGUUUACUUAAAUGAAACAUAUCCUUAUGAUGCUACGACAUAUCUUUUCCCAUGGCUUCAUAACAUUUUCUUUACUUAUGUCUCCAUUUUCUUUUCUCUCUGGCUAAUAUCCGUAUGUGCGCAGGAAUCAGAUAAUAAAAAGAGGGAAAGGAAAUCACCUUUCUAACCUUUUCAUACCUGACCAUGGUGCAGCCAUUUCAUUUCCCCAGACCCUUGCUCCUCUCCCCUAUUUCCUUGCCUAUGAAUUAUGCUUGAUCACAUUUUAUUUUAUUUUAUUUCCUAUACAUAUAUUAAAUAGAAGGCAAACUUCAAUGAACUAUUUUAACCUAUGCUCAACCUCUGGGCAAAGUCAACAUUCUUGGAAUUUCUUGUCGAGGCAUUAAACUGGAGGCACAGCAAGGACAAUUAUGCCUCGGACAUUAUCUUUCUGCAAGUAAGCUGAUAUUCUUACUAUUGUCAUCCUGGAAUCCCCUUUCGGGGGAUUCAAGCCAUCAACUAAGCCAAGCAAUGAACAAAGGAAAUAUUAUUUAUUUAUUUAUUUACAUCACUUUUACCCUGCCUUUCUCCCCAAGGAGACUCAAAGAGGCUUACAAUAAAUAGGCAAAAAUUUAAUGCCUAAAAACAAUGUAAAAACAACAAUUCAUAUAAAACAAUCUACAAAACAACA
rnacentral:lncRNA from 1 species